UUAUCAUCUAUUGGUAAGCUGGAUUGCCCAUCAGCGUCUAUAUUAGACACUCAGAGCAACUGCUCCACUGAGGC